rnacentral:rRNA from 1 species
CUCCGGGGGUACCCCCUGCUCCAUGCUUUUUUGUAAAUAGCCGCAGUAUUUUGACUGUGUAAGGUAGCUUAGUAAUUUGCCUCUUAAUUGGAGGCUAGCAUGAACGAGAGAACGACUCUUCCCCUUUCCUGUUUAAAUAGAUUUAAUUUAAUACUUGCUUCAAAAAGAGCAACUUUUUAAAAAGACGAUAAGACCCUAUAAAACUUUAUUCAUUGAAAAAUUAAAUUUAGGCUCCCGCGAUAAAAUCCAAAAUAAUCUCGCUUUUCUUGAAUUAAGCUGGGGCGGCCUCUAAACCAUUUUUAGAAAAAUUAACAUAAAUCAAUGACCUAAAAGAUCUUGAAAGUGUUUUUCAAGAUUUAAAUCAAGUUACUUUAGGGAUAACAGCACAAUUUUCUCAUAUAGCUCUUAUAGAAGAGAAAGACUUGUGACCUCGAUGUUGAAUUGAGAUCCCUAAUUCUUAAGCAGAAAUUACUUUAGGAAGUCUGUUCGACUUUUAAACUCUC